rnacentral:sRNA from 1 species
GACGGGCGCCCGGCCGGCUGUGGUCCGUGCGGAGGCUGAGCCGGCCGCGGGCGCGACCGGAGGCAGUUUCCGUUACUAUGGCAAUGACGGCAGGGACUACAACAACCUUUCCUAUGAGCAACCAUACCCGGGAAAGAGUGACUGUAGCCAAGCUCACAUUGGAGAAUUUUUAUAGCAACCUAAUUUUACAGCAUGAAGAGAGAGAAACCAGGCAGAAGAAAUUAGAAGUGGCCAUGGAAGAAGAAGGAUUAGCAGAUGAAGAGGUAAUGUAAUUACCUAUAAUUAAAAACCACCCCCAGUGACUUUUCAUUCAUUUGACAUCAGGUAUUUUAUAACUUAAAUAAUGUGGAUUUUAUCAUUUGAAUAUGGGCUUCUUACUUUGUUGCUGUCAUGGAUAUCUUUUAUUGAUAUCUUUAGAAGGAGGCAGUUUUGUUUUUUUCUUAAAUUCCAACAACAUGUAUUUAGAGAACAUUGCCGAGUGUAUUUUAGGUGUGUGGAAUGAGAAAGGCAAGCUCCAGGAGGAAUUAAUCAAUUGCUAGCUCUUCUAAAAUUUUUUCUAAAUAUUCUUUUAAAGCUAU